rnacentral:hammerhead_ribozyme from 1 species
AGCUAGCUGACGAGUCCUAAGUGGGACGAAAUGCUCAUCCUGGAU